CCCUUAGAUGUCCUGGGCCGCACGCGCGCUACACUGAUGCAUUCAACGAGUUUUUCCUUGGCCGAGAGGCCUGGGCAAUCUUUUGAACGUGCAUCGUGAUAGGGAUAGAUUAUUGCAAUUAUUAAUCUUGAACGAGGAAUUCCUAGUAAACGCAGAUCAUCAAUCUGCAUUGAUUACGUCCCUACCCUUUGUACACACCGCCCGUCGCACCUACCGAUUGAAUGGUCCGGUGAAGCCUCGGGAUUGUGGCGAGUUCCCUUUAUUGGGAGUUUGUCGCGAGAACUUGUCUAAACCUUAUCAUUUAGAGGAAGGUGAAGUCGUAACA
rnacentral:rRNA from 1 species